rnacentral:piRNA from 1 species
GAGCAAGCUGAUGGAAUGGUUAAUGUUG